rnacentral:lncRNA from 1 species
AUGGAAAAGAGAAGGAGCCCGAACAGCUUAUCGGAAGAGAUGCUGUGGCUGACACCCACCAAGUCACGUCUUGGAGGUGGUUGGACUCGGACUAGGAAGGUCUCAAGCCCACAUCCAUCACAAGUUAUCUUGGACCAUCCACCUGCCUCUGGCCACCUCCAUUUGGCCUGCCUGGGCCAUCCCGCAUGGGGAUGCUCCGAUGCCAAAGGCCGGACCCUUCUUUGUGGUUUCACACCAUUACUUGUUGGCUUUGAAGUAGAAAAUGAGGUGAUUUGCAGCCCCAGUGCUCAGCUCAGCAUGGCCCAGCAGCAGCUGACGUUUAUCCAAGAUUAUUUAUUGCAGCUCUUCCAGUGGUGAUCGUGGAAGCAACGUCUCCUACUGGAGAGGAAUACACACUAAUACUCAGCUGAGCUUCCUCCAGAGCUGCAUUAAUCAACCAGCCGAGCAACCCGGUGAGGGCGGAAAUGAGAUCCCUCAGUGGCAAAGCAGGGCAGAAAGCGCGCCAGGGUGGGCCAAGGAGGGCUGGACUCAGGAUCAAAUUCGGAGACCCCAGACGCGCCCCUGGCGUCACAUCUCCUGCAACGUGUAAUGUCUGCAUUUAUAUGUUAGUGCAUGUCUAAAACACAAGGUCUCGCACCAAGGGAAUUGCUCCGAAUGUCUCCUCUGAACCUACAGAGGUAUCCAGAGACGGGACCUGAUUGCGGAGUCGCGGCUUUGUCUGAAAUGUGGCGUGGAAGCAGUAAAUGCUCUUUAUUUCUGCAGAGACUUCAAAAGCUCUGAUGACACCUUGUCAGCUUCAGCCUCUCCUUACCGCGUAUCUAUUUGCACUGGCGCUGCUAGAUAAAAAAUCGGGGCACUCGUAACUAGAGUUACGAGCUGCAAAAGCCGGGCAGAACUGACGGGUGGAAAAGGCACCCGGCUGCUUUGCAGGCUGCAGGAACAAGACUGAGGAGCCACAGCUCAACUGACAGAGGCCAUAAAAAUUUGUAAAGAACAAAGCAUUCCUCCAAAUAGUUACUUGGGGAAGCUCUGUUUCUCAAAAUAUCCGUGCAUCUUGGGCUUCGGAGAUGUGGGGCUAGUGGUUCCCCGUGCUUUCACACCGAGAACGCCCCGAGCAGCCACCCCACGGGGGGAGCCCCAAAAGCUGAUGUUCACCUCUCCCUUUCUGAAAUCUCAGAUACGGAUGGUCUAAAGCUGGGUCUGAAACCCCAUGGGGCUUCCUGCCUGCUAAAUUUAGCUUAGGGCCUCAUUCUGCUGGGUCGUGGACCAGCGUCUGAACGUCCCUCCUGUAAGAUGCUUUAAAAUAAAGAGGUGAGCCGGA